UCUGAGCAACUCGACGUAAAGAAAUGGCCCUUCGAAGAGGAGGAACCUCGUCGUUAUUUGCUGGUAGAAUAGAGCGAUGAUAGCCUGGUAUUUUCUCGGUUACAAGUCAUGACGGCUGGAAUACAUCCAAACUAAACUUUAUUUAAGACAAAAAAAAAAUUCGGUACGCUCUUUUAAUUCAAUUAGCUAACGCAGCUCUUCUUAGGAGCGACGAUCCGUCCGGAGAGGAUGACCUAACAUGGACAUCUUGGUCGACGUGCCGUUAGAACUCAUAACCAAGUGUUUUUAAAAAGCAAACAGACUGUCGAGCCUCGAGGCUGGCGUGCUUUUGUUUGAGUUUUUAAAUUAAAAAAAAAGAAUAAUCUACGCCAGCAGAAAUGUCUUUGGAGCUAACGUUAAGCUAGCUCACUUGCUAACGAGCGAGCUAGCUGUUAGCUGACAUUUCCUUUUAACUUUUAGCUACGGCAUGUAUUUCUGACAACGUGUGGUCACUGUAACAGGCGAAUGCUUUCGUUGUAGGAGUUCAUCGGCUUGGCUCAACGAACACUUGCUGACAUAAACGGAGACCCACCUGCUGAAACCAAUGGCCAUCAGAGUGUAGUCUUUAGUAACAGAAGGAACGCUCAUUGGAUCACAUCGGAACAAUAGAGUCCAAAUUAACUCAAAAAGAAGAUAUUCAAUUUGAUCUAUGCUGUGACAAAUACUAUCUGGUCUGCGCAAUGCCGCUGUAUGGAUAGCUUCGUGCUGUGGCUCCUCAAUGAAGGACAGGACAGCUGCAGGACGACUAUACCAGUAUAAAGGGCAGAAAGUGUGGACUGUCUCUGGCGAUGAAACAACAUCCAGUCAAAAUCCUCCAUAAUUCUGCUGGGCAGAAGAGAUGUCCACCUUUCUACCACAUUCUUAAUUAUUUCUGCAGUUAAAUAACUUUCAGUAUGUGGAUUUGUGUUGCUCUGUAAUUGUUAUAAUGAUGACUUGUCUGAAAACUCCUUGUCAAGGAAGUUGGACAAUGUCUGAUUGCAGACAAAUGCAGCAGUGGCUCACAAGGGCCUUACAUCUCAUGUUCACCAAUCAUUUAUAUGGUAUAAAUGAAAUUUGAUCAGCACUUGUUUAUUUAACGAAUUCCAUAAAUGCCUAAUGAGAUCAUGUAUUUGUCUUAUUAAGUGUCCAUUCACUGUUUCUCCAAGAGAGGCCCCCUUUUUCACCGCGAUAUUCUCUUUUUAUGGGUAUCUGGCGCCAUCAUGUGGCAGAAGAAACAACUACAUUACCUGGAGAUUAAAGCAAGACGUUUCAUAAAUUGAUUUUGUUAGAACUUCACAACUUAGUGUGAAAAUUAAGUAUAUAACAUUGAAACACAUUUUCAAAUAAACCAGCUCUUUGACAACAAUCAAA